rnacentral:siRNA from 1 species
GACGUGUCACGGCCUGAUUGGU